UCGACGUGCACCGCCAUAGCCGGGAGGUGAGAUGAGGGAGAAGGUUGCCAUCGCCGCGCAGCAAUGCUCCUCGCCUCAGUCGGGAUGCGAACUCAGGCCUGGGGCUUCUCGACGUUGCCAGGGAGUUGUUCAUGGCUGCCCUGGAUGGAAUGGUGUUCGUGGCUCCAUCAAUUGCUCACCGGCACUAGAGCACCGCCGCAUCACCGCUGCGCGCCGGGGGCAGGGAUCAUCGCGACAUAAUCACUGGUAAUGACACCUUUGUGGCACUCACCUUUCCUUCCGCAUCAUGUAGCACCUCGCUGAAGUUCAAUUAGUGCACCUGGGUCUUGCGCCGGAGAAACGUCGAUGGACCUCUGCCUAGGGUCGCUCAGGUGCCGCCGUGGUCGGCCCACAGGGAAGAGGACCGGGAUACCGUUGAUGGUGGGGUGAACGGUUAGGAUUCGAUCAAGCUUGACUGGUUCAGGGUUGGAUCUGGGUCGUCUGUCCGUUAUUCAACGGGUGUGGAGCAAAUCGCGCCUAUUAAAAUCUGAGUUGUUGACGCUUGAUCGUGCGAUCUGUGCCACGUACCAAUUCAUUUAAUCGGUGACCUAAUCUGGUGCGUUGGAUCUCGAUCAGACGAUCCAGAUCCCGCGAUACCCCUUCGACCGGGUAUUUUCUUAACGAGACCCUCCACUUUAAGCUAUUCAACCCGCAGUCCAUGGAUCUUAUUCCCUGAGUCUUGGAAUUUUUGCACGCUAGCCCCUGUGCUCCUUGAAAAUUGAUGCACAGUCCAGAUAAUAAGGAAAACCAUAUAAAUAAUAUCAGAAAUUGAUUUUAACACAAAAAUAAUUCUAGGAACUUGUAAAAUCCAUAUAAAAUUUAUUUUAGCUCCUUUUCAGUUCAUUUCAGUUCCUAUAAUUUUGUAAUAUUAUUGUUUAUCACCUAGUGCCUCUGUUUUGACAUGAAAGUCAAAUUAAAAUUUAUAUCCUAUUUAAUCUUGUACAAAAAACAUAGAAUCUUGAGAAAUUCAUAACUUAAAAUCUAUAACUCCGAAUUGACCCGUUCCAGUUGCAUUAGCUUCUUAUGAAUAUUUACUAUGGAAUAACAACAUUUAUUGUACCAUGUCUUAUUUUUUAUAAUUAGACCUUUAUUUAACUUAUGUUGGCUAGUCUUGUUAAUAUGCUUAUCAUUAUAAUCUACUAGAAUAUGAUCUAAGGUCAAUUUAUAACUUAGAUUAAAGUUGAGAUAAUUAUUCAUAGAAUAACCUCUCAUAUGAUUUAUACUAACCAAUUUAUAAUAUAGUUCAUAUUUUAUUCACAUAGAUCUUCUAUAAAAUCAUAACUCCUUAAUCGUAACUCCGAUCUUAGUAAUUCUCGAACCCACGAUCUAGUAGCAACGCGUAGAUCAUUAUUAUUUAGUUUGUUCUUAUGUUUGGUGUGAUGUUAAUUUUAUCUAUACCAUGUUUGUUUGUAUUGGUACGACUAGCAGUGAGGUCACGAGUCACCUCAAGAUCAUCCUGGUACCUGGAAUCUCAAGUCGCAGGCAAGUUGUGCACUUGACCACAUUUGUUACCCAAUAAUGUUCUUUAUUAUCACUUAUUCAUGCUAUUGCUUACCCUAGUCUGAUUAUCUUUUACCUUGUUUACCCCUGAAUCACUUGGGUAGUUUUGUUAUUGCUUUAUAUGGUUUUGGGUUAAUAUUUCCUUAUAUCUAUGAUCCAAUUAUUCUAUUAUGUUAUUUAUGUUCAUGUCAAGAUCAUUAUAUUAUGUUAAUUGGAACAUGGAGCUUAACUUGAGAAACACGUGCUACCACAAGGGUGGAAUGGGACACCCUUGGCUGACUAAUUAGGAAAGCUAGUGGAAGACUACCUUACUCGAAAGGGGCAAGGGCAGUAGCGGAGUUGCAUGCAGGGAGGUUCUCAGGUUAAUUUAGUUGCGAUGGCGGUCAGACGAGAGAUUCUUGAAAGUGCUCUUCCUAUAAACUGUAGCAGGUUUUCGAAAACUAGUGGAACUAUGUAAAGGCCUCGUAGUGUUACCUGUCACACCCGGUUCGAGGGGCAGAGCUGGGUGCAUCGCAUACGUGUGCCAAGAUCCAUUUUUCACACAUAUGUUGACGUCACAAGUGUAAUAUAUCAAAAGACAAUAUGAUAAAGGCGUAAAGAGAGUAGAGUACUUUAUUACAUCAUCUGAAUCAUUGUAUCUAUAACAAGUAUCAACAUCAAAGUAGGGCGGAAUUAAAUAUAGGCACCCUUCCACAGGAAGGUGACCGGCGCAUCGUUAGACUCAAUAUUCAUCGAAAUCUCCAUCAAUGUCUUCUUCAUCACCCUCUGAUCAAAAUAUUAGCAAGGGUGAGCUCACUUAUGGUCGGGGCUCAGCAAGUGGGGGAAAAAUUAAUGCAAGUUUAACAAGGUGAGGCUAAGGUUGAGCAGUAAGCAUUUUAGUUGGUCAAUAUUUUAUUAACAACACCUGUCUUACUAAUAAGUGUGAAUCCCAAGUAUCCCAUUUAAACAAAGGUAUAUGAGUAUAUCAAAAACACUUAAGUGAAACCACUUAAGCAAACCAUUGGCAGAUCAUCGGAUCUCGAUUUAUUGUCCAUCUUCAAGUUCAAUUAUCAUGUGAGGGUCUAGGUUGCUCUUAACCGUGAGCACGGCUGACAUAUCAGUUUUACACUAUGUAGAGGUGGUACAACUUUACCCACAAUCCAUGUAUCCCAUCUAGCCUGGGUUGAUCAGACCCAUAAACACUACCAAGGUGAAUGGCUAGGGAUCCAUUAUGAGGCUUUCACAAAAUACACUUAAUACAAAGCAACCCGCUAAGGUUUCCAAGUCGGUGUUGAGGCCCUCUUGGCGAGGUACCUUAGCCAAGAAUAUGUCCCCAUGUUAACGUGAGCUGCCACCACUGCCGCUCCCCCUCUUGCCCAUAUUGCAGGUAAGGUUGCUAGGUACUAAGCAUAUAAAGCUCAUUACCAAAGCCAGAGCCAUGAUAGCACUCGUGGUUGCAUUGUUAUCCUAGGUGGUCACUCCAUGUUCCAAUUAAUAUAAAAUAAUCUUGUUUAACCAUCGGGUUAACACCAUAAUGCCAAAUUCAUUUCUGGAACAUUAAUAUCAAAUAAUGAGUGACAUCAAAAUUAUCAAGUUGAGCGGUAGCACAAAUUUGCAAUGCAAAGUAUUUUCCCAGGGUAAUCAAGGAAUACAGUUGGUAAAUCUAGGAAAUCCUUAAUUAGGCCAAUCCUAUCAAAUUAUGCAAUAUAUCCAAAAAAUAAAUAUUAUUAUAUGCAUUAAUUAGGUACAAAUAGAAUAUGCAGAGGGAGAAUCCACUUGCCUUGAUCAAACGUGUCCUGCGGGUCAUCCUCGAACGUGUUAGGCUCGUCUAACUCACAGUCCACUUCUAGCAUCGAUUUGUGUAUCGCACAUACAAAAGAAUAUGUACGCCAAAUAAAUAAACAUACACUAGUACAUGGGUAAUCAUUCACCAUUUACAUUCACAUUCAUACAUCACACUUAUCACACUCAUAAAUACGUCCUAAAGCGUAAAUACUUAUUAACUCAUUUAUGACUAUUACUGCGAGUCAUUAUUGAUGAAAUUAUGAGUAGGUGCUAUGUUCAUAGUUUUAACUAGUAUUAAUAUGCAUUAACAUUCUUUAUGAAAAAUAAAGACUAAUUAUUUUUUUUAUUACUAAUAAAUAGACUAAUAGAUUUUAUUCCUUUUAUUUCUAACUUGAAUUUAUGCGUAUAGUUAAAAAUGGUUUAUUCAUGAUUCUUCUAACAUUAAUAUUCUAAGAAUCAAUAUAAAUCACUAAUUGGACUUUUAAUAACAUAAACAUGUUUAUUAUGACAAAAACAAGUGUUUUACUAAUCUUAAGAAUUUAAGUGCUAUAAUCAUGAACCCAUUUAUUUUGGCUAGUAAAAAUCUAUUUUCAUUACUACCAGUGGUAUUCUUUUAGUUUUCUCCUUUCUUUAUAAAAGAAAGUAUUAUUAAAAUAAUUGGAGAUAAAUCAUCUAUUAACCUAUAAUAUUUAUAUUUCAUGAAAUCUAUACCAUUUACUAAUUCCAUGUUAAGAAAAGUUUCUAUUAUCUAUUAAAACGAACUUAUGAUUAUAACCUUCUAAAUAAUUUCCAAAAUUCAUUGUGAACAAAAUUAACUAUAAAAUUACCUAUCUAGUGUUUUUAUCACCAACAUGUGUCUAUCCAUUUUUGUCAUACUUCUCUCUAAUUUGACUUUCGAAAAGUCAUCGUAAACAAAUAAUAUGAAUAAUCACGGUGCACUAAUUUAUCGCAUAUAUUUACCAAAAAAAUCCAUAGCGCACAUUUGCAUGAAUUUCGAAUCACAACAUGCUCAUAUUACAACACAAUAAUUAUAGAAUUCACAAACUGAAUCAAAAUGAUUUUAAAAAUACAUAAAAUAUUUUGGGUCGUCUUCAACCUCGCGAUGAACGGUGGACGGCUUGGGCGUGCGUCUAGGCGAAGGUUUGGUACAGCGGUUGGCGUAGCUCCAGCGAGCUCCACGGGCUCCAGCGACGGCGUGGCGAACUGUAGCACCCAAAAAUAGUAUUAUGGAUUUCUAGUAGGAUAAUACGAAGAUUUGAAUCAUGAUAUUCUUUUAUGCAAAUUAUAUCACCUUUUAAGUCACAUCUUCUUAAACAAAUACAGCUAAAUACUAAAAGAUUUAAUAAUAUUAUAUAAAAUAAGUUAUUAUUUGUUUUAAAAAAAUGUUUAGAAAUUUUAUCUGGAAUAAAUAUUACUAAAUUUGUGCAAUACAAAUUAUUUCAUUAAAGCAUAUAUAUGAUGAUACAUUUUACAUAAACCAUACUUUAUUGAAUUAUAUGUUUUGUGGCAUGAACAAAGGAAUCAGUAUAAAUAAAUAUAUAAUUUAUACCUGCAUUGUCAUGCUGAGAUUUCUGUUUGAUGCAUCUAAUACAUGUUUGAAAUUCAGAAUCAAACUUAGGGUUGAAAUGAGAAAUGAAAAUAUAAAAUAGAAAAAAAUGAAUAAGUAACCUGGGCCGUGGUCUUCGUUUUUGGCCCAUCUUGGCCGUCCCCGCCAGCCCAACCCGCGUCUGCACGCGCGUGUGCUUGCCUCUGGCUCGCUGACCGCUGGGCCGCUUUCUGACCACACUACCGCUCGCGCCGCGUGGUGUGCCCUGGUGCCUGCCGCUGACGGCUGGGACCACCAGGCCAGACACGCCCGCGACGCGUUGCCACCGACUGGUGGGGCCCCUAUGUCGGGUCGUUCGUCCCCAACGGAUCGCGAACCAGGCAGAGCUCGCAGCGAAUUCUCCGGCGAAAUCUCCGCGCUCGCGCAGUCAACCUGAAUCUGUUGAACUCGGAUUCAGCCCAGGGUAUAAAUCGUGCCGCUCCUUCCCCCUAUCGUCCCAAGUCGCGAGCCUGGCUAGUCGCCAUGGGCGGUAGUAGAUGGAGGACGGUGCCGCCACCGCCGAAUUGAUCCGCGCCGCGGCGAGUUCGGCGCCGUAUCGCCACUCCGCCUUCCUAUCCGCGCUUUGGUCUCCGUCGUCCCAGUUCCCAUCUCCGGCCACCACUAUUUCUGACUCGGUCAGCACUGAUCGGGAUUUCUCAUCACGGGAACUCAAGCCGCCGCAUCCACUUCGCACGAGCACCGUAGUUCAACCAUCCCUGGGUGGUCUGGCGGAUUCAACAGGGUGCAUGGAUCGUGCUCAGGACUAUUGGACCAGGGAAUCAUGGGUCCCGUGGAUGGAAUUGCUCACCGGAUCGGGCUCACCCGCGGCCGCGCCGCAUCACACCAUGGUCGGAGUCGUCAUCGCAAAAUCAUUGGUAAGCGCCACGUUCCCUGUGUUAAUUUCACACACCCGAAGUAUAGAGCCGAUUGAGCUAGACGAUAGAUCACCGGAGCCCUUAGAAUUUCACGCCGGUGUGGUCGAUGGCCGCGGGGCCGCUGCGCCUCGUGGGCAGACCACCUCCAUCGCUUCAAACCUUCAAUUGAAUGCACCACCAUGCUAGCUAUUUUAUCUAGUCCAAUUUGGAGUAAUCGGUAGGGGAUUUUGGUCACCAGGCAUGGUUAUGCUCUUUCGCCGGCGUGUUCCACCGCUGCGGCACGGGGCGGCGCCGCCUCAGUCCGGCGAUGUUUAGGAAGAUGGUCGUUCCACCAUUAGAUGAUAGCUAGACGGAAGGGAUUAGAUCGUGUGAACCGUUUGAGUCUUCACCCUUGGAUCAUAAUCGGACAGAUCAUAUGAACUACCACCAAUUUAAAUCUGAGCCGCACGUUUCGGAUCGGGCGUGUGAGAAUUAGGCAGACUAAGGUCUAAUCUGAGGCGCACAUAUUUGAUCCAAUGGCCGAUCUCGUUCCAUACCGCUUCAGUCUGGAUUUUUAUUAAAAAGCCCCCGCCCUUCUAAGUUAUCAACCUGCGGUACAUCGAAGCCGUGCCCUGUGUCUUGUGAUUUUUUUAUACCAGACCCCCUGGGUUUCUCUGUUUUUGACGCGCAAUCCAGGCAAUGAUAAAAAGCUGUAAAAUCAUUUGGAAAUUGAUUUUUAGUGUAAAAUAAAUGCUAGAACUUGUUUAAUUUAUAGAGAAUGCAUACUUAGUCCAAAUUGACCCAUUUCAGUCUCUAUAGUUUUGUAAUAAUAUUAUCUAUCACUUAGUACCACUGUUUUGACAUGAAAUCUAUAUUAAGGGCCCGUUUGGCACAGCUCCAGCUCCUGAUUCUAAGCGAGGAUCUGGAGGAGCCGUGCCAAACGGGUAUUUUUUUAAACUGAUUCUCGUGUGGAGCUGAAAGAUCAGGAGUCGUUUUUGUGAAGAAAUGUGGGAUCUAAAAAAACCUGCUCCACCCUCCCUUAAAACAGCUCCUCAACCAACCAAAUAUGGACCUCCCCUUAAAGUUUGAUCGAAAUUACCUGCAAUUGCCAUUGGACAAAAACAUAACGAGCCAAUUUAUGGAUUAAACAUUUGAGACCAUUUUAUGCACUACUAUGAUGAAAAUAUUUUAUAUGUUAUUGUUUCAUAAUUUUUUUUCGUAUAUGCAUCCUACUUAUUAGUUUAUAAUAAAGUUGAACUACAAAGGGUAAAACAGACAAUCGCCACAAACCACCAACUUUCAGAAGACAAGAAUCAAUUUACUUGCCAAACGGUUUUAAAAAUGAUUCUGAUUCUCUAGGAGAAUCAGGAGGAUUAGCUCCUCACAAGGAUCAGGAUCUGGAGCUAAAGAAGCAGGAGCCGGAGCUUUGCCAAACGGGCCCUAAAUUGGAUCACCUAAUUAAUUUUGUAUCAUGCACAUACAGACUUCGGAAAUUCAUAACUCCUCCGUUUUAAAUCCGAUUUGACUCGUUCAAGUUGUGUUAGCCUCGUAUAGAUAUUUACUACGCAGUAGCAUUAUUGAUUAUAUGAUAUCCCAUACUUUUAUAAUUAAGUAACUAAUUGGAUCAAUCUAUGUUUAUUGGAAUAACUUUUCUAAUAUUGAUAUAAUAUUCUGAUCUUAUGAUUAUAAUUUGAUUCAAAUAUAAUCUUUAGUAAAGUUAUAAUUAAGAUUAAAGAUGAAUUCAUUAUUUCCUUAGAUUAUCUUUAUAGAAUCAAUUCAAGACCUAGUUUAAUUGCUUCAUCACAUAGAUCUCCCGUAAAUCACAACAUAGUAGUCGUAACUCCGAUCUUAGUGAUUCUCGUUUUCGCGAUCUCGUAGCACUCGUAGAGUAUUAUUAUUCAGUUUGUACUUAUGGUUGGUGUGAUGUCAAUUUUAUCUGUACCAUGUUUGUUUGUAUUGCUACGACUAGCAGUGCGGUCACGAGGAUCUGAAGAAUCACCCUGGUAACUGGAAUAUCAAGUGCCAGGCAAGUUGUGCCCUUGAUCACUUUCAUUUACCCAAUAAUGCCCUUUAUUAUUACUUGUCAAUGCAUAGGUUUAAUUUUGAUGGGACCUAAUUGGUCACCCUAGACUGUUUAUCUUUUUACCUUGUUUACCCCUGAUUCACUUGGGUAGUUAUGCUAUUGCCUUACACGGUUUCUGGGUUAAUAUUUCAUUAUAUCCAUGUUCCUAUUAUUUUGUUAUGUUAUUUAUGUUCAUAAUAAGAUCAUUAUGUUAAUGGGAACAUGGAGCGACCACCCGGGAAAACAGUGCUACCACAAGGGUUUAAUGGGACGCCCUUGGCUGAUUAACUAGGAAAGCUAGUGGAUGACUACCUUACCCGAAAGGGGCAAGGGCAGUAGGGGAGUGGUCAAUGUAGGGAGGUCCUUGAGUUGAUUUUGCUGCGAUGGCGGUUAGGCAAGGGAUUCCUGCACUGGAGCUUCCUAUAAAUUGUAGCGGGUUUUCUGAAGCUAGUGGAACUUUGUAAAGGCCUCGUAGUGUUACCCUGCCUCCCCUCCUCGGUAGAGGUGUAUGGGAUUCAUGACCCCUUGGCAGAUGGGUAAUAUGACUUGUGGGUAAAGAUGCGCAACCUUUGCAGAGUGUAAAACUGGUAUACUAGCCGUGCUCACGGUCAUGAGCAGCUCGGACCCUCACAUGAUUAAUUUAUGAAACCUAAAUUCAAUUUGUCAUUUGCAUUUGCAUGGGAUUGUUUGUUAAUUUUGUUCUAUUAUUUAUUAUGUUUGGUAUUUACUUACAUUUAGUAACUGCUAAUAAAAUUUUGACCAACUUAUUAAAAGCAAUGCUCAGCUUUAACCCCUAUCAUUGAUCAGCCUUACACUUCACAUGGACUCCCACCUUUGGUGAGUUCAUGCCACAUUAUUCCCCACAACUUGUUGAGCGAUGAACAUGUGUGAGCUCACCCUUGCUGUCUCACACACUCCACAGGUCAAGGACAUGUACUACAGGAUGAGGCGCAUGGAGGAUGUUGUGUUGUGUUUGUGAGAGGUCUAGGUCGUCGUCCCCCAGUCGACUUUCUAGCGCCAAGGAUGGAUUUUAGAUCCUGUUAUAUUUAUCUUUUAUUUUUGUAAGUAUUCCGCUAUGUAAUAAAUACUCUGAUUUUAU
rnacentral:lncRNA from 1 species